UACGGAGGGGGCUAGCGUUGUUCGGAAUUACUGGGCGUAAAGCGCGCGUAGGCGGAUCUGCAAGUCGGGGGUGAAAUCCCGAGGCUCAACCUCGGAACUGCCUUCGAUACUGCGGGUCUCGAGUCCGGGAGAGGUGAGUGGAAUUCCUAGUGUAGAGGUGAAAUUCGUAGAUAUUCGCAAGAACACCAGUGGCGAAGGCGGCUCACUGGCCCGGUACUGACGCUGAGGUGCGAAAGCGUGGGGAGCAAACAGG
rnacentral:rRNA from 1 species